GAUGAAGAACGUAGCGAAAUGCGAUAAGUAGUGUGAAUUGCAGAAUUCAGUGAAUCAUCGAAUCUUUGAACGCACAUUGCGCCCUUUGGUUUUCCUUAGGGCAUGCCUGUUCGAGCGUCAUUUAAACCUUCAAGCUAAGCUUGGUGUUGGGUGACUGUCCGCUUCACGGCGGACUCGCCUCAAAAUUAUUGGCGGCCGGUACAUUGGCUUCGAGCGCAGCAGAAACGCGAACUCGGGCCCGUCGUAUUGGCUCCCAGAAGCUAUCUUCACAAUUUUGACCUCGGAUCAGGUAGGGAUACCCGCUGAACUUAAGCAUAUCAAUAAGCGGAGGA
rnacentral:misc_RNA from 1 species